GUUUCAGCUCCAGCCAGGAAAUGCAAUCUUUAGCCUUAGAUUGAAAGAGAAAGUGCACUCUCAAAGCCAGAGGGGAGCUGACAGAAGUCCCCGCCCUAGUCCCUGAUGCAAAUGAUGACUCCAAAUCCUUGGUCUGAUUGGUCCAAAAGACACUGUCCUGACAGGUCAAAAUGGAGCUACUCUGAUUGAUCAGUGAAGAAGUUGAUGAGGAAAUAGCUGUGUGGCUCUCAAUGGAUGGGAAAAGCUUCUAUCCUAUUGAUUGAAAUAGGAUUCCAGGCUGGCUGAGAUGGCAGAAUCACAGUGGAGGACUGACUGCCAGGACAGGAGAGGAUUUAUCACAACUAGAUACAAUCCAAACACCUGAGCAAUUUUGCCUUAUCUCCCUAGAAGGCUAAAAAGCUAGAGUCUUAUUUCUACACUAGUGGGAAAUUCACCAGAAGGAAGAAAGCAGUGUCUGGUAUCUGGCAACUGAGCUUCAGCACAGAGGAAGAUAUAAUUAUAGGCUGUCCUUUCUACAUAUACAUAGGACUUGACUUCUAAAAACCCAAUGUGUGUUAACCCAAGACAGAACAAUUCAGCUUCCCACUGACCAGCAAUUCAGCAAGGCUCCCAGCACCACCUCCAAAGGAAUAAACACAACUGUAGGCAAA